rnacentral:rRNA from 1 species
ACAAGCAGCGGAGCGUGUGGUUUAAUUCGAUGCUACACGAAGAACCUUACCAGGGUUUGACAUGCAAGUGGUAGGAAACCGAAAGGCGACCGACCCUUCGGGGAGCUUGCACAGGUGCUGCAUGGCUGUCGUCAGCUCGUGUCGUGAGAUGUUCGGUUAAGUCCGCUAACGAGCGCAACCCUCGCUGUGUGUUACAAGUGUCACACGGUACUGCCGGUCUUAAGCCGGAGGAAGGUGGGGAUGACGUCAAGUCAGCAUGGCCUUUAUAUCCAGGGCUACACACACGCUACAAUGGUCUGUACAAUGGGUAGCCAAGCCGCGAGGCGGAGCCAAUCCUGAAAGCAGGCCUCAGUUCAGAUUGCAGUCUGCAACUCGACUGCAUGAAGCCGGAGUUGCUAGUAACCGCAGGUCAGCAAUACUGCGGUGAAUACGUUCCCGGGUCUU